rnacentral:rRNA from 1 species
UACAGAGGUCUCAAGCGUUGUUCGGAUUCAUUGGGCGUAAAGGGUGCGUAGGUGGCGUCGUAAGUCGGGUGUGAAAUUUCGGAGCUUAACUCCGAAACUGCAUUCGAUACUGCGGUGCUUGAGGACUGGAGAGGAGACUGGAAUUUACGGUGUAGCAGUGAAAUGCGUAGAGAUCGUAAGGAAGACCAGUGGCGAAGGCGGGGUCUCUGGACAGUUCCUGACGCUGAGGCACGAAGGUCAGGGGGAGCAAACGGG